UCGGAUCAUGCAGCGGGUUUAUCGGGCCGCCAUUCGCCUCAGACUCCUGGCGCUUUUGAGCCAAGAUAGUGUUUUUCUUCGAACAACCCAGUCCCGUUCUAACGUCGAAGCCAGAGCUCAGACUGCCCUACCACGAAUACAAAGGGCCCCGCGAUUUCCUUUAUGAACAUGCGCGUUCUUCCAGUAGCCUCUCAACUUGACAGAUUUUUUUCAUCGCGCAGCGCCGAACUGACUUUGGCACGAACAAAUCGAAUUUGUCAUUAAUUUUGAUUGCUCUUUGAAAGCCUGAAACCAAAUUCACGUCUAUUUCCGUCACGGACGAAAGAAGCCUCGCCUGAACCUUGUCUUCCAUUUCUAAAUUACCCGCCCAUUUGGCUAUUUUUUUCUGCUGCCUUCGGCGUUUGUCCCGUCGCAACCUGUCUACAACAUGAACGUGUCUAACUGCAGCGUCAGAGUAGAGUACCUCAAUUCCCAGAGGAUGCAAUCCAAAUUCAAAAAAAAUACCGAAAUUGCCAUUUCUAGAGAUAAAUGGAACUCCUAUGUCCUACUAGUUGGUGGUCCAAAAGCAAAAAAAUCGUUCAAAGCUGAAAACAACAUCAAGCAAAUUUUCAAAAACUAUGUAGCGGAUGGCAAAGCGACGAUUUCCCUUUUUUUUCCUUUGGUCAAUUUGUAUAUUCAACAAGCAAAAUUCGAGCAGCUGAACAUGUUUCUGACCCUUUUAGAACACUUGCAAGAAAAACCGGACGCUGGUACUUUGUCUUUUCUGUCUGGAUCUAGUAUUUCACUUUUUUUUCUGCCAUUGUGACCUUGAGAUCAAGGUAACUGAGACUUUUCCACUUCGAACUUGUAGAUCUAGAGACUAUAUUCGAACAGUGGAAACUGGAAAACAUCGAUUUAGCUGAAUCGACAGAGAAUGGGGAACAGCUAUACCAUGAAGAGGAUCUUGAAUAGAGUCUGGUGCA